CACGUAGGGUGCGAGCGUUGUCCGGAAUUAUUGGGCGUAAAGAGCUCGUAGGCGGUGUGUCGCGUCGGCCGUGAAAACCUGUGGCUUAACUAUGGGCUUGCGGUCGAUACGGGCAUCACUGGAGUUCGGCAGGGGAGACUGGAAUUCCUGGUGUAGCGGUGAAAUGCGCAGAUAUCAGGAGGAACACCGGUGGCGAAGGCGGGUCUCUGGGCCGAUACUGACGC
rnacentral:rRNA from 1 species